rnacentral:tRNA from 2 species
GGGCGAUUGGUUUAGUGGUAUAAUACCCCCUUAGCAUUGUUAGUUGUUCUAGCAUUACCCCAACCAGCGUGGGGGUGGUCCAGGGUUCGAUUCCCUGAUCGUCCA